rnacentral:lncRNA from 1 species
UUUUUUUUUUUUUUAUUCUUGAGCUCUCAUUUUGGUUUAGGUGAUGUUGGCUCAUGAAUUCAGAAUAGUAAGCUUUUGGAGUUACUGUUCCAUUGGGCAUGUUCAAAGUUGAAGCCAUAAUAACUCUUCUUCAGGCAACCACCAAAGCUCAGCCACUUUCAUCUGGAACACCAACAAAAAAAAAAGGGUCUUCAAUACUAUGAUCUAUGAAAGCUGAAAUGAGUUAAGAGUGCUGUUUCUCUGAACAGUUUUAUGGACUAUAAUUCAUACAUUUUUAAGUGAAAAUUUUCAAAAUUAUGGUUUCUUGAUUUUCGUCUUUAGAAAGGCAAGUGGGAGUAGGAGCUCAUACCUGCUCUAUAUGACUUCACCCCUAUAUCUUAUUCCAGGCAUUUCACAGUUAAAAUCUUGUGAUAUCUGAGUGUUUCAAUCCAAAACAGAAGUGCAUCAACAGGCAUGCAUAUUGAAAACCAACAUCUAGAACUUGGAGAAAUUAAGAGCAGUAACAUUCUGGUUUCAAUAUGUAUCCAAGAAAUCCUAGACCAUCUUCCAAGCUACUUCAUUCUAUUAUUAGAUCUCCUUCAUUGGUAUAAUUGUAUGCAAUAUUGAAAGGCUGAUAAAAUCAAUUAAAUGGGAUAUUAGAGAAUCUCCACAUGUUAAGGGAUCGAAUAUUGGUUCCAAAAAAAUAUGACAACUAGGAGCUUUCUCCACAAAACACACAAACACACAAUGCAAUCAAUCAUUAGUCUGUAUUUACCAAACACCACCAUUCCUCCACAUUAACAAAUUCUGCUCUUACUUUGUAAGCCACAUGCAGCCAACAGGGCAAGUUCAAUUAUCUAAUCAAUGAUGAUUGAUAAAUUAUGAGCUUGCAUCUUUCUUUCUUUUUUUCUUUUUUCUUUCAAGAGAAUUGAUAUGUGUGCUAUGAUAAGUUAAUCAUGGAGCCUCAAAAAGCUGGAGGGACCUGGAGCCCCAUGUGAGGGGCCUUAAGGUGCAGCUUCCCUUGGGGAAGAUCCUCUCUAGCCAGCCAUCAGUAACCAGCCAACACCCCAUUAUUGGAAGGGAGACCCCAGAAAAUUGCCAUUCCAACCUGCCUUCAGCAUCUCUAAGUAUCUUAUCCUACGAUGCAACUCUUCCAGAAUCCUAGCGGUGCAUGUUAACGGAUGCCCCACAAUCCACGUGAAUUUGCAUAUAACCACUAUGGAUGUUUCAUCCUUCGAGUCAAUGAGCCAAUGAACAAUAAUUUGAGGAAGAAAAUAUCCUACAAGACUGAAAAAUUUUCGGUUCAGAUGCAAGACUUACUAGUGAAAGAUUUGAAGCUCAAAUUUCAACCCCUAAACCACAUUGGAGCACAUGACAAUCUUAUUUGAAGCAAAUAAGUUAUUCUUCCAAGUGACUUAGCAAAUCAAAGAAUCAAGGUGUUAUUUUUCUUUUUUUCUCUGGGGUCUUUUUAAUACAUUUUUCCACAUUAUUCCGGUCCCCAUCUUUUCACUUUUUGUAUGUUCGAUGGGAUUCUUGAAUGUUGGUUCUUUCCCAGUUGGAAGUGUCCAACUGUCCAUGGCUUGCUUUAGCAAUUAGCAGCCUGAUAUUUGAGGCGUGCAGAGUGCAGACUUUAAUAUUGGUGCAUGGGAGUUGAAUCACAUUAGGUAACCAAACCGACCCAUUACUACCCUCACUGUGGAAAAGUUGGCCAUGAUUUUUUUUUUUUACUUUCUUUUUUCUAGCAGGGGAUUUAAUAAGCGAAAAGGGAGAAGGAAAAUUUGAACCUAAAAUUUUUUAUUUUUGGACCUUCACUUAAUCAUUAGACCAAGGCCUUUUCGACAAAUGGCCAUGAACUUGAUACAUCACUAGAAUAACCUACAUUUGGUGCUUUGUAUACUACCGAUAAUGUCAAUUUUGUAGUGGAUAAUGUACAAAAAAAAAUUAUAUUUUUAACAUGUCAUGGCACUUGAGAAUCUAAGAGUAACGUUAAUGAAAAAGUCGGUAAACUAGUAAUUUGGUUGUUGAUCGUUUGGAGGUAGAUGAAAGCUUAUAUAGCUUCAAGAAAGUUAGCUUAUGAACUUAUUCCCAUAAAUUACUAACGAAUUUGAUAUCUGAGUUGAUAUUUACUUAAGAUGUUAAGGGAAAUUCUUUGUUUUUGGUCAGUUGGAGGCCUAAGCCAAAAUUUACUUUGUUUUGCUAUCGGUGGCACUUGCACCCAUUAGAUAAGUGGGAAAUUGUACACAAGUAGUGGAAACACUUGACUAUUUUUAUUAACCCACAACCACUUUUUACGUGCUCUUGCACAGAUGGCUUGUCCAAUUGAAAAUGGCAUUUGGGCCGAGAAAAUUUUUUUUUUUGAAGUUUGGACUGGAAUACAAUCAUAUUGUGUUUUGAUGUAAUGGGCUAAGAAGUACUGCAUUGAAACGAUGUAUCCGUUUUCCAAUCUGAAAGUGUUUUAAUGUCUUACCUCGAGGGAGGGUUAAAUUGAACGGUAAGAUAGUAGGAAUUGUAACUUGUAAGUAAAAAAUCUUGAGUUUCAAGACCUUCCCUUUUACCCAAAAAAAAAAAAAAAAAAAAAGAGAGAGAGAGAGAGAAGGGUCUUGAAAGAUUUUAAAAGUUUAGAGACAUUUUUUUUCAAAAAAAAAAAAAAGCAAGAUAGAAGAUAGAGGAAUUUAAACUCAAAACUUCUAAUUAUUGAUAUUUUAACUUUAACCAGUAAAUCAAAACUGGUCCACCAAGUUUUAGAAACAUUCACUACAAACAUUUUGUUUGUAGGAGUGAUGCUAAAUCAAAUAGUUCGACUCGAACUCGCGAGCCACUCAGUCAAUAGUUCGAUUCGAUCUCGUUUUGACCGAGUUUAAGUUCGAGUUCAACCUAUUCGUUUGAGCUCACGAGUCGAGUUCGAACUCAAAUACUUUGUACUCAAGGGCUCAAUGAGCCUAAUCGAGCUUUUCGUAGUAUAUAUUUUUUAUUUUUUUAUAUUUAUUAUUGUGAAAUGUUAAUAUUAUCCUUUAUUUAAAAUUAUAUGUGAAAUAUUAAUUUUUAUUACAUGAGCUUGAUUAGACUCAAAUAGGCUCGAUUACACUCGAAUAGACUCGAUUGAAUUUGAUUUGACUCGAUUAGAUUUAAUUAAACUCGAGCUCCUAAAGUCAAGUUCGAGCUCGACUUCUAAAAGCUCGAUGAGCUCAAGUUCAGUUAUUUUACCUCUAGUCAAGUUCGAUUACUGCACUACUCGAAUUUGACUCGAUUCGAAUACACCUUUAUUCGUCUGUCUUGUUCAAAAGAAAAAAGAGAAAAAAAAAAAAAACCAUUCAUCUGUCUUUUAACUUCAACGUACUUGUGCAAAGCAAACUCCUAAAUCCGCCUAUAUGCGCAAAAAUUAGUGUGCAGAGGGCCAACAUCUUCAUCCCUCAAUUUACAAAACUUACAAUAUAUAAUAUCUUCCUUAAAAAGCAUUGUCCUUUUUACGUUAGUUAAUUCACCUGAUAAAGUUUUUAAGGUGGAUGCACUAAUCUCCGUCUUUACAUAAAAUAGUGUACUGGUGUUGAAUGACAAGUAUACAUCCAAGAAUUAGACUGAGAAUCGUCCCUUUCCUGGUAAAAAAAUUCAACAAUAGGAAUAGGAAUAGGAAAUGCACUUACCCCAGGGUAAGCACCAGUACUUUUACAUGUAAGAUCUUGGCAUCCAUAUCCUUUAUCAUUAAGCAAAUAAUUAACUUGAUACCAUGAAUCCUGAUCCACUCCCAACUGCAGCAACAUAAUUGUUUUGACCAACUGUUAAUUAAUAACGAGGUUAAGACAAAAAAGAUGUUUGACUCUUGAGUUUUUGAGGUGACUUUUACAGGAAGGCAUCCACUAAGAAAAGGUUUCUCAUUACUUUUCCAGCUCAAUUCAUGCCCCUUAACUUGUACACUUUUACCUCAAUUUUAGUAUCACGAUUCACAAUUAUGAAAUAUGUAGUCCAUUUUUGUAGUUUAAAUUCUUUUUUUUUUAAUAUAUAUAUAUAUUUUUUUUAAAAAGAAAACUACUACUAUAAUAUCAUCAGAGGCUUUCUUUCUCAUAAUAUCAAAAGUUGGUGCUAUGAGUUUUGUUUCAGUUUGUAUAUAUAUUAUCAUGCAUGCAUGUAAUCAAAAAUAAAACUUGCAGAAUAGUGAAAGGCGGCUUAGGAAACAUGUCAUCCAUCUUAGAACCUUUUUGCAAAGAAAAUUGGCUGACCAAAUUCCACUAGGAUUUAUUUAUCAAUUUGUGUACUGUCGCUUGAACAAACAUGAGUCGUUGAUGACUCACAAACCAAAAUAAAAAAAAACUCAAUUGAUCGACUAAAUUAGGUGGGUGUGCGUGGGUUAUUUAUCGAUUUCGAUAAAAAAAAAAAAAAAAGGAGUGAGAUGGAUUCAUUUUUUCUAUCUAUCUUUCUCUUUCUCUUUUUUUUUUUCUUUUUUGUUAAUUUCAUAAUAUACUGCUUUAUAUUUUGGUUAGUUGUCUCUUUCCACUUUGCAACACGCCGAUCAACUAACUUGCAUAGAUUAAUUAUUGGCCCAGGAAGCAAAAAGGACCCCUAAGGAUUCAUCAUCCUUAUCCCAAACAAUGGCCAAUGACAACUAAAAUUUCACGUAAAGUAGGAAGAAGAAAGCAACAAGAAAAGUUGCAGUACCAACCUCUCUUUCUCAAUUGGCCUUUUUCUACAUGAAAAAUACAGAAGCAUUGGAAAAGAUUCCACAUACUCUGAACAAUGCUAAGGAGCCCUGUUUUGACUUUUGAUUCGGGUUUUUGGACUGAUUCUGAUUCCUCUCCAAAAGAUUAGCCGGAUUGGACAGAAUUCCUAGCAUUAAUGAAAGCAGCUGGACGAUAAUUGUAAAUUAGACAUCAAAAUUAAGAUAAAAUCUAAUUAUUAUGAUAAUUAAGGACCCUCAAGCACUCUUCUUUUUUUUUUUUUUUUUUUUUUGUUAAUUGCAAUAAAUAUUUCCUUGUUCAAACUGCUUGUAAAUUACAAUAUCCUACCAAUAUGUAACAUGGGAUGCGACAAGCACACAUGAAAUAGGGCUCAGUGUAUAAAACUCUUUUGAGUGUUGGAUUCGAGGCAAAGUAACCCUACUUUAUGGUUUAACUUAAGUUAAAUAUUGGCCAAGUGUUUAUCAUUUUAUUAGAUGUAGCUUUCAUGAGUGUCCAGCUUGAUUAUCUUUUCAUUUUCCGGCAAUUUUCUAUGAGAUGAGAUUAAGAAAAAAAAUAAAAUCACAUCAUUUGGUAACCACUUGUCCAUUCGCCAAUCUCUUUCAUGCCUGACUAACAUUUUCUUUAAAAAAAAAAAAGAGGACAGAGUUUAGUUGUCAAUCAAUUAUUUUAAUUUUUAAUCAAUGCUUUUAGGAGUAUUAUAGUUGAUAAUUAGAAUCUGACAGCUAAACACAACAAUUUAUCUAAGUUUUUUUUUUAAAAAAAAAAAAAAAAGCAUUUAACUGGUUGGAACCGGGAUUCUGAAAUUGUUUUGUAAGUAGCUCCUUCUUGCUAGUUUUGACUUUGUCAGCACAAAUGGCUCCUUCUAGAAAUAGUUUAGGGUCACUCACCUCCACGGCUCAGAAAUCAUCCAGCAUAUAACAUUGCCUUGCUCAAAUCCAAGUCUUAGAUCACAAACUCAAUGCAAACAAAUCCCUUCAAAGUUCAGACAGCACUUCCCUGAAUUUGCUAAUAUUUCCCCUGACGUAGCUAGGUUUAUAACUACAUAGAGAUGCCCUAUUUGUAGAUCUCCGCCAGUUCUAGUAUCUAUCUAUCAAUAAAUAGACCAAUAAAAUAUCCAGGGCUAUUUAUGUAUUCCAAUUUACUGAAGUAAUUAUGAAUAAUUGAACGACUAAUACCCUGCAUUGCGUAUUUUACUGCUACUAAUUAAUAUACUCCAUUUUAUUUAUUUUUGUUUUUUUUUUUACUAACGUAGUGGGUAUCCCAGAUUCGACGAAUAGGAGGGAUCAAACUGCGAUCACACGGUGCCAGACCUAAGAGGCACCGUGUAUAUUCCUUUUGUAUGAUUAACUCUUAUGUUUUCCAGUAAUUAGCAGAAUGCCAGGUGUGAAGAUUACCUUCCUGAUUUUGACUUUGUCUGUUUGUCAUUCCACGGUUUAGAUAAAUCCUAUAGAUUUCUUGUUUGGAUUGCUUUUUUCUCAAAAGUUUUUAUAAAAAAAAAAAAUUUACUUUGAUGAUUUGAUUAAUAAAAGUUAAAAUUAUAAUUAAAAUAUUUGUUUAAAAAAACAUAAAAAUUUUCCUACGAAAAAUCACAACCCAAACCAAACAAGGGUUUCACUUUCCAGGUGCCGAAGCAUGAGCAAAAGCCGCAAAAGAAAAGGAUAAUGAUUGCUUGCUGUUAAUCUGUCAUUGGUCGAUUUACCUCAUAUCCAUCCAGAACCAAUUAAAUGCUAAGCAAACCUCGGUUUAAUAGUACAACAGUAACAGCCAAUAAGCUUCAAGUUUUCCAGAUAAAGAUUUUAGAGAAAAUAAUAAUAAUUAUUAUGUUCUGCUGCUUUGCUCCUGACAAUUCGCUAAUUAAUUUUCCUAAAAUCUUGGAAAAGUGCUUCUACAUAUGCACCAUAUUUUUUAAAAUUUUAAUUUUUUUCAACUAGUUAAUGCAUAAGGUUUAUCAUUUAUGUAGUUCCAAUGUAAAUAUCAUUUUCAUCUCAAACAUUUUAAAGCUAAAGUACCAUUUGAGGGGAAAAAAAAGAAGGUCAGAAACAUGGCUGCUAGUAUCUUCAAGCUCUUCACGGAGUUGGAUGUCCAUUUCAAGCCGUGAAUCAGCUUCAGACUCGUAGUCAACAGCAAAUGUAAAUAAAAUUUGCCAAUUUGUCAACAACACGAUUUCUAGUUUCACAAAGAUUCAUGCCUUAAACUGUUACAAAAAAUGAAAAGUUCAUUGAACAUAACAUCUUCUCAGAUGCAGAAAAAGAUGAAAUUAAACCCAUGAUCAUGAGUCCUACAAUGGUGGUUGUCGAUGGAGAACACAACUGGCGGCGGGUGGCCGGAGCAACCUUGAUAUUUCUGGACUUGCCUACUAUGAAAGGUUGAUGAGAUUUGAAGCCAAAACGCAUCUCUGAUUUAUUGCGUUGAUGAUGAACAACUAAAGUUUCCAGGCAAAACACACCCAAAAAAAAGGAAAAAAAAAACAGCAAGCUUGCAGAAAGGAAACCAAUUGGUCAUGAGCCGUACAGUCAGAGAGAAAAUUUGAAAAGCCAAGAAUUAGACUUGCCUAGAACUCGUACUAGUUCCAUUUACCCUGUGGGGGGCGCCCUUGCUUUUUCCACUAGCAUAUUUGAUGUAUUUUGUGGAGAAACUCUCAGCCCUUCUUCAUCUUCAUGCAUAAAUAACUCAUGAUUGCUUUGAAUUCUUGAUCUCAUAUACUCUGCCAUUAGCUGCUGGUUUUGAGGCUGCAUGAUUGAUAUGAGAACAACUAUGAAGUUGGAGAAUACUAUGAGACCAAGAAGAAGAGGAAGAAAGGGGAUGAAAUGUUUAAGAGUUUUGUAGAUGUCGGAUUAUAUAUAUAUAUAUAUAUUACAUAGAGUUUUGCGGGUAGGGAAUGGAUUUUUCUUAGUUGCUUCAUGGUGUGAUGGACGGAAGCUACAAGGGGUAAUUAAAAUAGCAGAAUAUUGAAGAAGACACCUAAGUAAUUAUGGCCUAC